rnacentral:rRNA from 1 species
CCUACGGGAGGCAGCAGUAGGGGAUAUUGCACAAUGGGGGAAACCCUGAUGCAGCGACGCCGCGUGUAGGAAGACGGUCCUCGGGAUUGUAAACUCCUUUCCCCAGGGACGAAGAUGACGGUACCUGGGGAGGAAGCUCCGGCUAACUACGUGCCAGCAGCCGCGGUAAUACGUAGGCAGCGAGCGUUGUCCGGAAUUACGGGGUGAAAAGGGAGCGUAGGCGGGGAUGCAAGUUGGGUGUAAAAUCUACCGGCUCAACUGGUAGUCGCACUCAAAACUGGAGCUAUGGAGUGAAGUAGAGGCAGGCGGAAUUCCUAGUGUAGCGGGGAAAUGCGUAGAUAUUAGGAGGAACACCAGUGGCGAAGGCGGCCGGCUGGGCUUUUACUGACGCUGAGGCUCGAAAGUGUGGGGAGCAAACAGGAUUAGAUACCCUAGUAGUC